UCUCUCUGUUUGCGGAAUCAUUUUCUCUGUGAACUCUUUGCUCAUUUUGUUCACAAAAUGGUUUCCGUUCACAGGUCUACUAGCAUUAUCCCAAUUUUUGUUAGGACUUGCCAUCUCUGGUUCUCCUCUGUUUCAGUGUCUGAUCUGUUUUGAGCGUUACCUGGCAGUGGUUCAUCCUGUAACCUUUCUGAAGUUCAAACCUCUCAGAUAUAGAGUGAUCUGCUGUACUGUGGCCUGGAUAAUCACUCUUGGCAGUUGUUUGGUCUGCAUGCUUAGUUUUCUAUUUGUAUUAUAUUUUUAUACAUACGUGUGGUUCCUCUCAAUGCAAUUCAUACUCUUCCUCUCCAUUAAGAUGUUCUGCUGUGUGGCUGUUCUCAGAGCUCUGAAGCAGUCAGGACCAGGAGAGAGAGGGAGAGAGAGAGAGGAGGAAAACCACAUGAAGAGAAGAGCGUUUUAUCUCAUUCAACCAGUGUCCUAUGUGAUGAAAAUGAAAUCAUUGAAGUCGUGACAGCUGUGAAGUGACUAUAAAACAGCAGUGAGCUUCAUGUCAAGCCAGAGAGACUGAACCUUCACUCUUCAGAUCACAAUUGUUCCUUUUGUGCUUCUGGUUGGAGAAGAUAAACAUGGAACUAAUGAAGAACUUCACCACACCUCAUUCAUUUGCCAACCACACAUUUUUUCCAUUUUGGUAAAUAGGAAUGUUUGAAAUUUGUAUGCUUACCUUCAGCUUCAUCUCUGGUGUUUCUAUACACUCCUGUGUGAUCUGGCUCAUCAUCACAGGAACAGGAAGUGGAGUUUUAGCAGAGUUCCUCAACAUCAGUCUCUCUCUUUGUGGGAUCAUUUUCUCUCUGAAUUCUUUGCUCAUUCUGAUCACAAAUUGGUUUCUGUUUCCAGUUCUCCUAUCAUUAACACAGUUUUUAGUUGGACUAUGCAUCACUGGUCAUCCUCUGUUUCAGUGUAUAAUGUGUGUUGAGCGUUACCUGGCAGUGGUUCAUCCUGUAACCUUUCUGAAGUACAAACCUCUCAGAUAUAAAGUGAUCUGCUGCACUGUGGCCUGGAUAAUCACCAUCGGCUACAGUUUUUUCUCCAUGAUUGUUUUUGUCUCAUCUCCUACUUAUAUUUAUACAUUGUUCUUCUCCACACAGUUCCUCUUCUUCCUCUCCAUCCAGUUGUUUUGUCUUGUGGCUGUUCUCAGAGCUCUGAAGCAGUCAGGACCAGGAGAAAGAGGGAGAGGGAGAGGGGAGGAAAACCACAAGAAGAGAAGAGCGUUUUAUCUCAUUGUAGUAACUACUGUUAGCUUGGUUAUCACAUAUGUUCCUUUUACUAUGACUGGAAUAGUCAGUAUUUUGAUAGAAAAGAGUUCUUCAGCCAUCUGGUCAGUAUGUUAUAUUUGUUUUAUGCUGGCUGAUUUAGUUCAGCCUUUUCAUUAUCUGCACCGGAAUGGAAAACUCUCCUGCUUCUUUGUGAGAAAAGAACUUCAUCUGUGACAUUUUAUUGAGUUACUAAUACUUAUAUUGUCUGAUUUGCAACUGUGUCUUAUUUUGUUGUAAUGAUCCGCUGACUACUACAUUGCUACUUAACAAAUAAAUGAAUAUUUAGACAGGAAAAAUGCAGGUAGGGCCUAUAUUGCAACAUCUGUUCAGCUGAAAGAUUCUAGAACACAUUUAUGGGGGCGUUAUGAACCGUAUGUUCUGUUGUUUAGUGUAAAUGUGUGCUAUGUAGGGUUUAGAUUUAUACAAUAUAAAGGUGUAUUUUGUUAUUUACUUCAUGCUUACUGUAUUUCAUUUUCUGUAAAAAUAUAUUUU